AUUGAACGCUGGCGGCAGGCCUAACACAUGCAAGUCGAACGAGUGGCGGACGGGUGAGUAAUGUCUGGGAAACUGCCCGAUGGAGGGGGAUAACUACUAGAAACGGUAGCUACUACCGCAUACUAUUGGAGCGGCAGAUAUCGGAUGAGCUAGUGGGUGGGGUAACGGCUCACCAAGGCGACGAGCCGUAGCUGGUUUGAGAGGACGACCAGCAACACGGGGACGGAGAAACGGCCCAGACGCCUACGGUAGUAAGAGGUGGGGAAGAUUGCACAAGGGGGGCAAGGCUGAUGCAGCCAUGCCGCGUGUAUGAAGAAGGCCUUCGGGUUUUAAAGUACUUUCAGCGGGGAGGCGUUACCCGCAGAAGAAGCACCGGCUAACUCCGUGCCAGCAGCCGCGGUAAUAC
rnacentral:rRNA from 1 species